CGGGAGGGGAGUGAAAUAGAACCUGAAACCGUGUGCCUACAACCGCUCAGAGCCCCUUAUGAGGGUGAUGAGGUGCUUUUUGUAGAACGAGCCAACGAGUUACGGUAUGUAGCAAGGUUAAGUACUUAAGGUACGGAGCCGAAGGGAAACCGAGUCUGAAUAGGGCGACUAGUUGCAUGCCGUAGACCCGAAACCGGGUGACCUAUCCAUGGCCAGGUUGAAGCGAGGGUAAAACCUCGUGGAGGACCGAACCACGUUGCUGUUGAAAAAGCAUGGGAUGAGCUGUGGAUAGCGGAGAAAUUCCAAUCGAACCCGGAGAUAGCUGGUUCUCUCCGAAAUAGCUUUAGGGCUAGCGUCGAGUAUGAGUAGUGGAGGUAGAGCACUGAAUGGGCUAGGGGGCAUAGCGCUUACCGAACCUUAUCAAACUCCGAAUGCCACAUACUUUGAGCUCGGCAGUCAGACUACGAAUGAUAAGAUCCGUGGUCAAAAGGGAAACAGCCCAGAUCGUCAGCUAAGGUCCCAAAGUGUAAGUUAAGUGGGAAAGGAUGUGAGAUUUCUAAGACAACUAGGAUGUUGGCUUAGAAGCAGCCAUUCAUUAAAAGAGUGCGUAAUAGCUCACUAGUCGAGAGAUCUUGCGCCGAAAAUGUAACGGGGCUAAACUUACCACC
rnacentral:rRNA from 1 species